AGAGUUUGAUCAUGGCUCAGAUUGAACGCUGGCGGCAGGCUUAACACAUGCAAGUCGAGCGGAGAGAGGUAGCUUGCUACUGAUCUUAGCGGCGGACGGGUGAGUAAUGCUUAGGAAUCUGCCUAUUAGUGGGGGACAACAUUUCGAAAGGAAUGCUAAUACCGCAUACGUCCUACGGGAGAAAGCAGGGGAUCUUCGGACCUUGCGCUAAUAGAUGAGCCUAAGUCGGAUUAGCUAGUUGGUGGGGUAAAGGCCUACCAAGGCGACGAUCUGUAGCGGGUCUGAGAGGAUGAUCCGCCACACUGGGACUGAGACACGGCCCAGACUCCUACGGGAGGCAGCAGUGGGGAAUAUUGGACAAUGGGCGCAAGCCUGAUCCAGCCAUGCCGCGUGUGUGAAGAAGGCCUUAUGGUUGUAAAGCACUUUAAGCGAGGAGGAGGCUACUUUAGAUAAUACCUAGAGAUAGUGGACGUUACUCGCAGAAUAAGCACCGGCUAACUCUGUGCCAGCAGCCGCGGUAAUACAGAGGGUGCAAGCGUUAAUCGGAUUUACUGGGCGUAAAGCGCGCGUAGGCGGCUAAUUAAGUCAAAUGUGAAAUCCCCGAGCUUAACUUGGGAAUUGCAUUCGAUACUGGUUAGCUAGAGUGUGGGAGAGGAUGGUAGAAUUCCAGGUGUAGCGGUGAAAUGCGUAGAGAUCUGGAGGAAUACCGAUGGCGAAGGCAGCCAUCUGGCCUAACACUGACGCUGAGGUGCGAAAGCAUGGGGAGCAAACAGGAUUAGAUACCCUGGUAGUCCAUGCCGUAAACGAUGUCUACUAGCCGUUGGGGCCUUUGAGGCUUUAGUGGCGCAGCUAACGCGAUAAGUAGACCGCCUGGGGAGUACGGUCGCAAGACUAAAACUCAAAUGAAUUGACGGGGGCCCGCACAAGCGGUGGAGCAUGUGGUUUAA
rnacentral:rRNA from 1 species